CACAUUCACGGUUUGUGCUUCUGUCCCAGCUUCUGAUCCAAAGGCCAGUGGUAGACGUGUUUAAAUAAGAGUCUCCACCCUGCUCGGAGCUGACCUGGGAUCCGAAGUUGGAGAUCUGGCUGGGAGUCUGUCCAGGCACGCUGUUUCUGAUUUACUGAGCUUUCUGAAACCUUCCACCAUCCAGAAGCAAUCUGCAGAGGGGAGGGGACUGAGGUACCUCCCUAAGCAGCCCGCCAGGCGUGAAGGACUGGGCCUCGGAGGACAUCCCUGAGGGGACAUGACCUGCAGCCCGGUGGGCCUCGGGCCCAUUUUCUGGGGAAAAGGUCCCACAAGGGACCAUUCGCCCAAGGAGUGCAAAGAUGAUUGACUCCGCCGCCAAGCAGGAAUCGAGAGAGGACGGGCCUGGAGUCUGAAGCCUGAACUUCAGUAUUCCUUCUGUUUUACGCUUUUGGGCCACGAGGCAUGUGGGAUCUUAGUUGCCAUAGAGGCAUUGAAUCUGCAUCUCCUGCGUUGGGAGACGAAGUCUUAACCACUGGACCACCAGGAAUCCACAGUGGUCUGGUGCGUGGGAAGUGCUGGUCAUUAUUAUUCCUCGGCCUGUAGUUAUCUUACUGACUCCAGCUGUUAUCUUGCCUGGUAUGAACCUUGCCUGUCCGACCGCAGAGAAGGAUCUGCGCUUGGGGUCUGCUGAGAGUGAGGGGGUAGAGGGAGUAGGGCAUCUCUUCAGCUUCUCACUCCCAGGGCAGAAGGAACUCAAGGCACCUUGGGAUGUCCCUUCACCUGCCUCGCCCUCUCCCCACCAGCAGAGCAGGGAACAUAAGGAAGUCAGACAGAAGGAUCUCUCCUGUUCUACCCACCUCAAGCCUCCCACACAGUCAGACUCAAGCCCCAAGUCGUGCACAAGCACAUUCUGGGGGCUUGGGGCAUCCCCCUGACCCUUGCUCCAGGGAAUUUACAGUUUAGAACAGGGUUCAGCACACUAGAGCCUGUUAGCCA